AAAAAAAAAUGAUUGGAUGGAAUAUUUCGCGGACAGCGUUACUUGCUGCUCCGCCGUGGAGGAAGGUUAAAAUGGACAUGGCGAGAAAAUAAGUCAACGAAAAUCACAGUCCAUGUAGCAUCUAAAUGUUCUUUAUGACAUUGCCUCACGAACUCUAAUUUUAUCAGUAUUUUUCAGGAAAAUAUCCUACAAAACAGGUUUUUAUUGUACGAUGACCUGCUGAAAGGUUUCAUCCGAUAUCCUAAACUGGAAAAAGUAUUUACUUAUUAGUUUUGGCACCUGGUUGCUGCUCUCUGUUUUUUUGUAAGCAUUCUCGCUCUCUGAUUUGCAUUUAUAUCUUAAAAUUUUAACAUGUGUUCUCUUAUUACAGCUACCUGAUAGAGCUGGACGUGAUCUAUAUAGCCAUCUGCGACGCGCAUGUGAGCCAGGAGCGAGCCUUCACCUACCUCCAGCAAGUGGCCCAGGAGUUCUCUGCUCAGUACGGUGAUCGCGUCAAAGAGCCCACUAGACCAUACUCUUUCAUCGAGUUCGAUCUUGAGGGGAGUUCGUCACGAGUGUCUCAGAAGUACCGAGGAGGCUUAAAGAACUCCACCAGACGUUGCAGGUUCUACGCCAAGACGCUCGUAGUCUUACUCAUUCUUCUUAUUCUUCUCUACUGGAGUAUGCCUGGAGAAUACUUCAUCGUCUUGUGAAACUAUUUACAUGUAAAUUUAUGGGAUCAUUUGUGAAAGAAAGGGAAUAAAAUGUUCUUAUCUGUAGGUUAAAUCUACAUAAUGUAGUGUUAUAUGACUCAUAAUGUAUCUAUGAACUCCCAAUGAUCAUUGUCAAAGAAAUAUGUAUAUGUGUGACACCUAAAUAAAAAUUUAACUUAUUUA